rnacentral:rRNA from 1 species
UACGUAGGGUCCAAGCGUUAAUCGGAAUUACUGGGCGUAAAGCGUGCGCAGGCGGUUGUGUAAGUCAGAUGUGAAAUCCCCGGGCUCAACCUGGGAACUGCCUUUGUGACUGCAUAGCUAGAGUACGGUAGAGGGGGAUGGAAUUCCGCGUGUAGCAGUGAAAUGCGUAGAUAUGCGGAGGAACACCGAUGGCGAAGGCAAUCCCCUGGACCUGUACUGACGCUCAUGCACGAAAGCGUGGGGAGCAAACAGG